GACGAACGCUGGCGGCGUGCUUAACACAUGCAAGUCGAACGAAGAGCGAUGGAAGCUUGCUUCUAUCAAUCUUAGUGGCGAACGGGUGAGUAACGCGUAAUCAACCUGCCCUUCAGAGGGGGACAACAGUUGGAAACGACUGCUAAUACCGCAUACGAUCUGACCUCGGCAUCGAGGAUAGAUGAAAGGUGGCCUCUAUUUAUAAGCUAUCACUGAAGGAGGGGAUUGCGUCUGAUUAGCUAGUUGGAGGGGUAACGGCCCACCAAGGCGAUGAUCAGUAGCCGGUCUGAGAGGAUGAACGGCCACAUUGGGACUGAGACACGGCCCAGACUCCUACGGGAGGCAGCAGUGGGGAAUCUUCCGCAAUGGACGAAAGUCUGACGGAGCAACGCCGCGUGAGUGAUGACGGCCUUCGGGUUGUAAAGCUCUGUUAAUCGGGACGAAAGGCCUUCUUGCGAAUAGUUAGAAGGAUUGACG
rnacentral:rRNA from 1 species